ACGGUCCAUUUUGGGGUCGUUACAGAUUGGUAUCAGAGCCCUAGGUUCACAUGAUCGGACCGAUAGAGAGAGUGUCGGGCUCAUAGAGGUUAGAGGAAGUCAAGCACAAUAGGGAAUCAUGUCCACUAGGAUAGGAUGUUGAGUCCUGUCUAUUUGCUGCUAUGAUAUGCAUGUGUAUGAUUGUGAUAUAUGAAUUCACUAAAUGCUGAUAUGUUAUGUUAUGUGUUGUGUUCCAGAGUUAAAAUGCGAGGAACUCGUCGAUCAGCUCGAUUGACUGGAGUCCCACCAGAUAGUGAGAGAACAGCUGCUUGUCCUCCUGCACUGCCAAGGGCAAGGUCUCAGAGAUCUAGCAGGGAAGGUACGUCAAUAGACC
rnacentral:lncRNA from 1 species